rnacentral:rRNA from 1 species
UACGGAGGGUGCAAGCGUUAUCCGGAUUCACUGGGUUUAAAGGGUCCGUAGGCGGUUUUGUAAGUCAGUGGUGAAAGCCCAUCGCUCAACGGUGGAACGGCCAUUGAUACUGCAAGACUUGAAUUAUUGGGAAGCAACUAGAAUAUGUAGUGUAGCGGUGAAAUGCUUAGAUAUUACAUGGAAUACCAAUUGCGAAGGCAGGUUGCUACCAAUACAUUGACGCUGAUGGACGAAAGCGUGGGGAGCGAACAGG